AGAUUAAACAAUAGAGUUUGAUCCUGGCUCAGAUUGAACGCUGGCGGAACGCUUUACACAUGCAAGUCGAACGGUAACGCGGAGAGAAGCUUGCUUCUCUCCGGCGACGAGUGGCGAACGGGCGAGUAAUACAUCGGAACGUGUCCGCUCGUGGGGGACAACCAGCCGAAAGGUUGGCUAAUACCGCAUGAGUUCUACGGAAGAAAGAGGGGGACCCGCAAGGGCCUCUCGCGAGCGGAGCGGCCGAUGACUGAUUAGCCGGUUGGUGAGGUAACGGCUCACCAAAGCAACGAUCAGUAGCUGGUCUGAGAGGACGACCAGCCACACUGGGACUGAGACACGGCCCAGACUCCUACGGGAGGCAGCAGUGGGGAAUUUUGGACAAUGGGCGCAAGCCUGAUCCAGCUAUUCCGCGUGUGGGAUGAAGGCCCUCGGGUUGUAAACCACUUUUGUAGAGAACGAAAAGACACCUUCGAAUAAAGGGUGUUGCUGACGGUACUCUAAGAAUAAGCACCGGCUAACUACGUGCCAGCAGCCGCGGUAAUACGUAGGGUGCGAGCGUUAAUCGGAAUUACUGGGCGUAAAGGGUGCGCAGGCGGUUGAGUAAGACAGAUGUGAAAUCCCCGAGCUUAACUCGGGAAUGGCAUAUGUGACUGCUCGACUAGAGUGUGUCAGAGGGAGGUGGAAUUCCACGUGUAGCAGUGAAAUGCGUAGAUAUGUGGAAGAACACCGAUGGCGAAGGCAGCCUCCUGGGACAUAACUGACGCUCAGGCACGAAAGCGUGGGGAGCAAACAGGAUUAGAUACCCUGGUAGUCCACGCCCUAAACGAUGUUAACUAGUUGUUGGGAAGUAAUAUUCUCAGUAACGCAGCCAACGCGAGAAGUUAACCGCCUGGGAAGUACGGUC
rnacentral:rRNA from 1 species